AGGGUGUAAACGCUGCAGACUUGGUGUUGGAAGUCCUUUGGGGGGCAUUCAGUGCCGGAGAGAAGUUGUUAAGUCUGCUACUUGGGGAGUACGUCCGCAAGGAUGAAACUUAAAGGAAUUGGCGGGGGAGGCACCGCAACGGGAGGAGCGUGCGGUUUAAUUGGAUUCAACACCGUAAAGCUCACCAGGGAAGACUGUUACAUGAAAGCCGAGAUGAAGACUCUGCUAGAUUUUCAGAGAGGUGGUGCAUGGCGUCAGUGACU
rnacentral:rRNA from 1 species